rnacentral:rRNA from 1 species
GACGGAGGAGGCAAGCGUUAUCCGGAAUUAUUGGGCGUAAAGCGUCCGUAGGUGGCUGUUCAAGUCUGCUGUCAAAGCGCGAGGCUCAACCUCGUAUAGGCGGUGGAAACUGGGGAGCUAGAGUACGGUAGGGGUAGAGGGAAUUCCCGGUGUAGCGGUGAAAUGCGUAGAUAUCGGGAAGAACACCAGUGGCGAAAGCGCUCUACUGGACCUGUACUGACACUGAGGGACGAAAGCUAGGGGAGCGAAAGGG